CUGGCCAUGUGGAUGCCUACCACAUGUCAAGUGACCUGGUAGUGUUUAUUUAAAGAAUCCUGUCUGCAGAGAAAUGGCUGCAUCUCCUCAUGCCCUGUUGUUACAGACAGCUCUUUAUUGCCCGUGACUCAUGACAUGAUUGGCUAAUUGCACUAACACAGCCAGUGCAUUGUGCAGUCUCAUCUCAACACUCUUUUGUUCCAUGCUAGCUGACAGGGCUGUUGGCCCGUCUCUUGGGUGGUCAGCGUCACAAACAAAUACCUUGCUUUUUUGCCACAAACUCUGCAGUUGAAUUGCUAAAUUUUUCAGAGCAUUUGAGAGCACAGGAAUGGAUUUCUACCAGCAGCAGAACAUCUGGGGGGCUCAGGGAAGUAAACGCAACUGGAUAGAAAAGGAACAGACUUAAUUUAUUAACAGCCCCACACUAAGCAGGAGAUGUGCUAGACCACAUAUGUGUUUGUCCAGCCUCUUCUCAAAGGAGCUCUCCCAGCAUCCAGGGACAGCCUGUUUCAAUGCUUCACUGCAGAGCCAGAUAGCAUUUUCUGAUGAAUUACGAAAAUUAUGGUGUUGUUGAAGCACCUCUCCUCUGAAGAUCUCACAGUGGCCUCUACAUGAUGCCCACUGUGAGGUGGUUACAACAAAUAUGAAAUAGUGCUGGUCUGGAAAUUAUGAUCUAGCUCGGGCUGAGGGCAAGGGAUGGAUCAUACAAAGUUAAGCUGGACAUCAGCCUUUCUUAAUGGUUGGCUUAUAGAAUAACCUAGCAGCCCUACACUAUUCCUGUCAAUACAAGGAAUAUAGCAACAAAAUGGAAAGGAAUUAAUCAAAUCUUUUUCUUUUUUUUUUUUUUUUUUUUCUA